CCUACGGGGGGCUGCAGUGGGGAAUAUUGGACAAUGGGGGCAACCCUGAUCCAGCCAUGCCGCGUGUGUGAAGAAGGCCCUCGGGUUGUAAAGCACUUUCAGUGAGGAAGAACGCCUGGUGGUUAAUACCCAUCAGGAAAGACAUCACUCACAGAAGAAGCACCGGCUAACUCCGUGCCAGCAGCCGCGGUAAUACGGAGGGUGCGAGCGUUAAUCGGAAUUACUGGGCGUAAAGCGCGCGUAGGUGGCUUGAUAAGCCGGUUGUGAAAGCCCCGGGCUCAACCUGGGAACGGCAUCCGGAACUGUCAAGCUAGAGUGCAGGAGAGGAAGGUAGAAUUCCCGGUGUAGCGGUGAAAUGCGUAGAGAUCGGGAGGAAUACCAGUGGCGAAGGCGGCCUUCUGGACUGACACUGACACUGAGGUGCGAAAGCGUGGGUAGCAAACAGGAUUAGAUACCCCUGUAGCC
rnacentral:rRNA from 1 species